rnacentral:snRNA from 1 species
GUUUAUUCCUGAACAUAUACUAAAAUUGGAACAAUACAGACAAGAUUAGCAUGGCCCCUGCUCAAGGAUGGCACGUAAAUUUGGGAAGCGUUCCAAAACUUU